AUUGAACGCUGGCGGCAGGCCUAACACAUGCAAGUCGAACGGAGUGGCGGACGGGUGAGUAAUGUCUGGGAAACUGCCCGAUGGAGGGGGAUAACUACUGGAAACGGUAGCUAAUACCGCAUACUAUCAGAUGAGCCUAGGUGGGAUUAGCUAGUUGGUGGGGUAAAGGCCUGCCAAGGCGACGAUCCGUAGCUGGUCUGAGAGGAUGAUCAGUCACACUGGAGCUGAGACACGGUCCAGACUCCUACGGAAGGCAGCAGUAGGGAAUAUUGGACAAUGGACGAAAGCCUGAUCCAGCCAUGCCGCGUGUGUGAAGAAGGUCUUCGGAUUGUAAAGCACUUUAAGUUGGGAGGCGUUACCAACAGAAUAAGCACCGGCUAACUUCGUGCCAGCCGCCGCGGUAAUAC
rnacentral:rRNA from 1 species